UGGUGCCUGUUGGAAAGGAUGACAUGAGGUCAAACCUCACUAACUCCUGGACUACAAGUGUCACAUGGCAGUCUGUCACCAAAGCACUGAUCAAACCUUUUUGAAUAAUUUGGUAAAAGAAUAAUAAAAAAAAGUUAGUGUUUGUGCUCUUACCGCAGUGUGAUCUCCAUUGCAGGACCUGUGAUUCUUCAGCAUGUUACAUAAGUUCAAAUGGAUUCUGACUGCUGCAGGAAAUGGAAUCCCAUUGGUCUUGAGCGAGGUACCCAGUGUCAGUGAUGCUGUAAACGGGAAUGGGCUGGUGUACAUCCCUUUGUUGAGGUCACAUCAGGAAGGUUGGGCCUGGCGCAGAAGACUCUUAUAGCAGUGUUCCUGAACUCCACGUUUGAGAUGAGAGCAUUUAUACUGCAGUGAACUUCACACUGGUUCCUGAAAGAAUACAGUGAUGCAGGAAGUCUUUAUUCUACUGUUUUACCCAAACAUCAUGGGUGGCUCUUCAGUGCUGCUGUGCACAUUGUCUCAGGUACAGUAACUGUUUCUGUUGUGUAUUUCUAUUUGUACUAUAUUUGCACAAUGAUGAAUUUUCUUACCGCCCCAGUCUGAAGAUUCGUGACUGAUUGGUACCCCUCUGAUUGCACCAUGUGACUGUUUGACUAAUGUAGUCUGUCUAAUCUCUGAAAGAACCUUGUUCCAGAUUAAUCUGGAUUUGGCCUGACAAAAUUUG